rnacentral:tRNA from 1 species
GAGGGUAUAGCUCAAGUGGUAGAGCACAUGCUUAGCAUGCAUGAUGUCCUGGGUUCAGUCCCCAGUACCUCCU